GAGGUGGGGGAUCCUUUUUGUGGACACCAAGUAGUUUUAAGUAUCCAUCACUCCUUCCACUCUCUCACCCUCAUCUCCUUCCUUGAAGAGCUCCCACCUCAACUCCUCCCUCCUCCCUUCCUCCCUCUUCCGAGAUGCUACCGAGAACAUGGAGCAUCUUCCAUGUGGGGGAGGAAGGUGGUGAGGCACCAAAGACUGUUGCAGCUGCCAUCGAAAGCUCGAAAGGCGCCUGCGAUCGGCUCGAAGGCCUUCGAAUCCUCAUACAGAACUCGGGACGACGAUCCAAUGUCGUGAUCAAUUCUUCACUUCGAUCUUGCAUGCCUCACCAUUUAACCAAGGCUUCUGCGCCUCGGUUUGGUUUCCUGAAAGCUUGCUUCUUGUGCAGAAACGAGCUGCGCCCUCACAAGGAUGUUUACAUGUAUAGGGGUGACCAGGGAUUCUGCAGUGAGGAAUGUCGUCGCGAUCAAAUCUUGUUGGAUGAAAGAACAGAAGCUGAAGCGUCAGCAAGAGGGAGAAUGAAGCCACCUCUUCGUCCUCCCGCCGCCGCCAAUAAGGUUCAGGAAUCCGACCGCCGGAGGAGGAUCGUAGCAGUAGCAUAGAGAUCUACGAGGAAGAAAAGCCCCUUCUUUCUGAAUGAUGAGAAGGCUGCAUAUUUACCAACUGCACAGAAUUGUAUGCCAAGUUCGAGACAAAUCCAUCGGACUGACAGCCAAUUCAAGUUUCCUCCUAUUUCCAGGGAAUGUUGCAACCUAUAAGAGUAAAGAAAGAGUCUAUCGGAAACAAAUGAUACGCUUUUCUACUCUAAUGAACACCUUGUGCUUCAUUUUUACUCA